rnacentral:rRNA from 1 species
AUGCCGCCUAAAGCUCUCAAAGCACCCAUCACAUGCAACUCGGUUAGAUCCAACGUCACCGACAACAUCUUAGCUGAUUUUGUAAAGACGGGUUAUCUGCCAAGGAAAGAGGUCAUGUCCUAUCAUGCUCCUGACCCGUCAGAAGAGAGGCCUCAACCCAAGGAUGGGGAAGUUGUCAUAUUUACUGAUCACAUGAACCGGGGCUUUGCUCCUCCCGGCUCAAAAUUCUUCAGAGAUGUCCUGCACUUUUUUGAUCUGCGACCUCAAGACAUCGGACCCAAUUCCGUGUCAAACAUCUGCAACUUUCAAGUGUUCUGUGAGGUGUACCUCGGAGAAGAACCCAGCUUGCUACUCUUUAGAGAGUUAUUCUAUCUGAACCGCCAAAACGAAUGUGCCAACGGGCCCAGCUUGGAGCUCGGUGGAAUCUCAAUCCAACGACGGAGAGAUUGUCUCUUCCCUUAUGCUGAGCCGCCAAGCCACCCGAAAGGUUGGAACCAGACAUGGUUCUAUUGCCAAGACACUUCUCCGGCUGAUGAAAACCCUCUGCCCGGCUUUCGCGCCCUGCGUCUGGAGUCAAAUCACCCAUUGCCAGACAAAUUAUCUCAAGCUGAACGUCAACCACUUACUCCCACCAUCAACAAAAUCAAAACUCUCCUGGGGAACGGCCUAAAUGACAUUGAUCUGGUCCGGGUCUGGAUUGCCUGGCGGGUGAUUCCUUUAAGCCGCCGCCCGGCUUGA